rnacentral:snRNA from 1 species
AUGCUCACUUCAGCAGCACAUAUACUAAAAUUGGAAUGAUACAGAGAAGAUUAGCAUGGCUCCUGUGCAAGGAUGACAUGCAAAUUCAUGAAGCAUUCCAUGUUUUU